ACUCAAAUGAAUUGACGGGGGCCCGCACAAGCAGCGGAGCGUGUGGUUUAAUUCGAGGCUACACGAAGAACCUUACCUAGGGUUGACAUGAGGCUAGUAGGGAAGCGAAAGCGGACCGACCCGCAAGGGAGGCCCCACAGGUGCUGCAUGGCUGUCGUCAGCUCGUGCCGUGAGGUGUUAGGUUAAGUCCUGUAACGAGCGCAACCCCCGGGUCUAGUUACACGCUGUCUAGACCGACUGCCCGUGACAAGCGGGAGGAAGGUGGGGAUGACGUCAAGUCAGCAUGGCCUUUAUCUCUAGGGCUACACACACGCUACAAUGGCUAGCACAAUAGGUUGCCAAGGCGCAAGCCGGAGCCAAUCCUGCAAAGCUAGUCACAGUUCGGAUUGGGGGCUGCAACCCGCCCCCAUGAAGUCGGAGUUGCUAGUAACCGCGCGUCAGCCAUAGUGCGGUGAAUACGUUCCCGGGCCUUGUACACACCGCCCGU
rnacentral:rRNA from 1 species